UGCCUCGUGGUGUAACGGUAGCACUGCAGAUUCUGGAUCUGCAUGUCAUGGUUCGAAUCCAUGCGAGGCAG
rnacentral:tRNA from 1 species